rnacentral:tRNA from 1 species
CCGCCAUUAGCUCAUCAGGAAAGAGCGCCAGCCUUCGAAGCUGGUUGCGCGGGGUUCGGGUCCCCGAAGGCGGUCCA